UACGUAGGGUCCGAGCGUUGUCCGGAAUUAUUGGGCGUAAAGAGCUCGUAGGCGGUUUGUCGCGUCUGCUGUGAAAUCCCGAGGCUCAACCUCGGGUCUGCAGUGGGUACGGGCAGACUGGAGUGCGGUAGGGGAGAAUGGAAUUCCUGGUGUAGCGGUGGAAUGCGCAGAUAUCAGGAGGAACACCGAUGGCGAAGGCAGUUCUCUGGGACGUAACUGACGCUGAGGAGCGAAAGCGUGGGGAGCGAACAGG
rnacentral:rRNA from 1 species